CCGGAGUGCUUGCACUUUGGCAGACUGAGUGGCGGACGGGUGAGUAACGCGUGGGUAACCUGCCUUAUACAGGGGGAUAACAGUUGGAAACGACUGCUAAUACCGCAUAAGCGCACGGUUCCGCAUGGAACAGUGUGAAAAACUCCGGUGGUACAGGAUGGAUUCGCGUCUGAUUAGCCAGUUGGUGAGGUAAUGGCCCACCAAGCCGACGAUCGGUAGCCGACCUGAGAGGGUGAUCGGCCACAUUGGGACUGAGACACGGCCCAAACUCC
rnacentral:rRNA from 1 species